UCGAGCGAACCUUCGGGUUAGCGGCGAACGGGUGAGUAACACGUGGGCAACCUGCCCCGAGCUCUGGGAUAACUCCGGGAAACCGGGGCUAAUACCGGAUACGACCUCGGAAGACAUCUUCCUUGGUGGAAAGUUUUUCGGCUCGGGAUGGGCCCGCGGCCUAUCAGCUUGUUGGUGGGGUAACGGCCUACCAAGGCGACGACGGGUAGCCGGCCUGAGAGGGCGACCGGCCACACUGGGACUGAGACACGGCCCAG
rnacentral:rRNA from 1 species